rnacentral:tRNA from 1 species
GGGUUGAUGCCCGAGCGGGGACGGACUGUAAAUUCGUUGGCGAUAUGUCUACGCUGGUGCAAAUCCAGCUCGACCCA